GUAAAGGCACAAGGGAGCUUGACUGCGAGACCUACAAGUCGAGCAGGGACGAAAGUCGGGCUUAGUGAUCCGGUGGUUCCGCAUGGAAGGGCCAUCGCUCAACGGAUAAAAGCUACCCCGGGGAUAACAGGCUUAUCUCCCCCAAGAGUCCACAUCGACGGGGAGGUUUGGCACCUCGAUGUCGGCUCAUCGCAUCCUGGGGCUGUAGUCGGUCCCAAGGGUUGGGCUGUUCGCCCAUUAAAGCGGUACGCGAGCUGGGUUCAGAACGUCGUGAGACAGUUCGGUCCCUAUCCGUCGCGGGCGCAGGAAAUUUGAGAGGAGCUGUCCUUAGUACGAGAGGACCGGGAUGGACGCACCGCUGGUGUACCAGUUGUUCUGCCAAGGGCAUCGCUGGGUAGCUAUGUGCGGACGGGAUAAGUGCUGAAAGCAUCUAAGCAUGAAGCCCCCCUCAAGAUGAGAUUUCCCAUUCCGCAAGGAAGUAAGAUCCCUGAAAGAUGAUCAGGUUGAUAGGUCUGAGGUGGAAGUGUGGCGACACAUGGAGCUGACAGAUACUAAUCGAUCGAGGACUUAACCAAUUU
rnacentral:rRNA from 1 species